rnacentral:tRNA from 1 species
AUUCUUUUAGUAUACAAAAGUAUAUUUAACUUCCAAUUAAAAGGUCUUAAACAAGAAAGAAUA